GAGAUUGAAUGUCAAGAAGUAGAGGAGAGAAAAAGAUUGAAAAACAUAGUUGCUGAUGUUUGAUAGAGGAAAAGAAUGAAAAGGUAAAGUUAGAAAUGGGUAAAGGAGAAAAGGAGUGAGAGAAAAUGUGAAGAAAAGUUUGCAAUAAUGAUGUAUUGAGUGAGUUUUAAUAGAGGAAGAAGAUGACCGUUGAAGGGUUCUCAGAGGAUCUUUUUGGACAUAUCUAAACAUUGGGUCGUUUUAGAAUUUAGAUAGACAUUUAUUAUGGCAAAAUUGACGUUUUACUUAUCUUUACCAAAAAAUAAACAAUAAACUAAUAGUGACAAACGAGAAGGACAAAAAUAAAACAUCACUAUAUUUUUGAAGAGAUAAAUUUGAUAAUUUAAACUUUAUA
rnacentral:lncRNA from 1 species